rnacentral:rRNA from 2 species
AUUUGAGAGUUUGAUCCUGGCUCAGGACGAACGCUGGCGGCGUGCCUAAUACAUGCAAGUCGAACGAACUCUGGUAUUGAUUGGUGCUUGCAUCAUGAUUUACAUUUGAGUGAGUGGCGAACUGGUGAGUAACACGUGGGAAACCUGCCCAGAAGCGGGGGAUAACACCUGGAAACAGAUGCUAAUACCGCAUAACAACUUGGACCGCAUGGUCCGAGCUUGAAAGAUGGCUUCGGCUAUCACUUUUGGAUGGUCCCGCGGCGUAUUAGCUAGAUGGUGGGGUAACGGCUCACCAUGGCAAUGAUACGUAGCCGACCUGAGAGGGUAAUCGGCCACAUUGGGACUGAGACACGGCCCAAACUCCUACGGGAGGCAGCAGUAGGGAAUCUUCCACAAUGGACGAAAGUCUGAUGGAGCAACGCCGCGUGAGUGAAGAAGGGUUUCGGCUCGUAAAACUCUGUUGUUAAAGAAGAACAUAUCUGAGAGUAACUGUUCAGGUAUUGACGGUAUUUAACCAGAAAGCCACGGCUAACUACGUGCCAGCAGCCGCGGUAAUACGUAGGUGGCAAGCGUUGUCCGGAUUUAUUGGGCGUAAAGCGAGCGCAGGCGGUUUUUUAAGUCUGAUGUGAAAGCCUUCGGCUCAACCGAAGAAGUGCAUCGGAAACUGGGAAACUUGAGUGCAGAAGAGGACAGUGGAACUCCAUGUGUAGCGGUGAAAUGCGUAGAUAUAUGGAAGAACACCAGUGGCGAAGGCGGCUGUCUGGUCUGUAACUGACGCUGAGGCUCGAAAGUAUGGGUAGCAAACAGGAUUAGAUACCCUGGUAGUCCAUACCGUAAACGAUGAAUGCUAAGUGUUGGAGGGUUUCCGCCCUUCAGUGCUGCAGCUAACGCAUUAAGCAUUCCGCCUGGGGAGUACGGCCGCAAGGCUGAAACUCAAAGGAAUUGACGGGGGCCCGCACAAGCGGUGGAGCAUGUGGUUUAAUUCGAAGCUACGCGAAGAACCUUACCAGGUCUUGACAUACUAUGCAAAUCUAAGAGAUUAGACGUUCCCUUCGGGGACAUGGAUACAGGUGGUGCAUGGUUGUCGUCAGCUCGUGUCGUGAGAUGUUGGGUUAAGUCCCGCAACGAGCGCAACCCUUAUUAUCAGUUGCCAGCAUUAAGUUGGGCACUCUGGUGAGACUGCCGGUGACAAACCGGAGGAAGGUGGGGAUGACGUCAAAUCAUCAUGCCCCUUAUGACCUGGGCUACACACGUGCUACAAUGGAUGGUACAACGAGUUGCGAACUCGCGAGAGUAAGCUAAUCUCUUAAAGCCAUUCUCAGUUCGGAUUGUAGGCUGCAACUCGCCUACAUGAAGUCGGAAUCGCUAGUAAUCGCGGAUCAGCAUGCCGCGGUGAAUACGUUCCCGGGCCUUGUACACACCGCCCGUCACACCAUGAGAGUUUGUAACACCCAAAGUCGGUGGGGUAACCUUUUAGGAACCAGCCGCCUAAGGUGGGACAGAUGAUUAGGGUGAAGUCGUAACAAGGUAGCCGUAGGAGAACCUGCGGCUGGAUCACCUCCUUU